GAUGAACGCUAGCGGCAGGCUUAAUACAUGCAAGUCGAGGGGCAGCAUGGUGUAGUAAUACACUGAUGGCGACCGGCAAACGGGUGCGGAACACGUACAGAACCUUCCUUCGAGCGGGGAAUAGCCCAGAGAAAUUUGGAUUAAUACCCCAUAGUAUAUUGAAAAGGCAUCUUUUUAAUAUUAAAGAUUUAUCACUUGAAGAUGGCUGUGCGGCUGAUUAGGUAGUUGGCGGGGUAACGGCCCACCAAGCCUGCGAUCAGUAACUGGUGUGAGAGCACGACCAGUCACACGGGCACUGAGACACGGGCCAGACUCCUACGGGAGGCAGCAGUAAGGAAUAUUGGUCAAUGGACGAAAGUCUGAACCAGCCAUGCCGCGUGGAGGAUGAAGGUCCUCUGGAUUGUAAACUUCUUUUAUAUGGGACGAAAAAAGGGUUUUCUAACUCGUCUGACGGUACCAUAUGAAUAAGCACCGGCUAACUCCGUGCCAGCCGCCGCGGUAAAAC
rnacentral:rRNA from 1 species